rnacentral:tRNA from 1 species
GCCGGUGUAGCUCAAUUGGCAGAGCAGCUGACUUGUAAUCAGCAGGUUGCGGGUUCAAGUCCCAUCGCCGGCUCCA